UCGGGAAUUUUGGGCAAUGGGCGAAAGCCUGACCCAGCAACGCCGCGUGAGGGAUGAAGUAUUUCGGUAUGUAAACCUCGAAAGAAUGGGAAGAAUAAAUGACGGUACCAUUUAUAAGCUCCGGCUAACUACGUGCCAGCAGCAGCGGUAAUACGUAGGGAGCAAGCGUUGUUCGGAUUUACUGGGCGUAAAGGGCGCGUAGGCGGCGCGGUAAGUCACUUGUGAAAUCUCUGAGCUUAACUCAGAACGGCCAAGUGAUACUGCUGUGCUAGAGUGCGGAAGAGGCAACCGGAAUUCUUGGGGUCGCGGUGAAAUGCGUAGACAUCAAGAGGAACACCUGAGGCGAAGGCGGGUUGCUGGGCCGACACUGACGCUGAUGCGCGAAAGCCAGGGGAGCAAACG
rnacentral:rRNA from 1 species